rnacentral:lncRNA from 10 species
GCCUCCAAGAAGUAAUCUGGGUGAGAGAAGACUGAGAGUUGCAGCAGGCUGGUCACAGGGCAGAUGAUGAGAAAUUGCUGGAUCCAGGAUGUAUUUGGGAGGCUCUGUGUUAGUGGAUUCACAAGCAACCUGUACUCCUCAAAGAAAGAUGAUAAGAUGAAGGAGAUCUCUAGAACCAGCAACUGGGGCUCUUCCUUCAGUGAAAAAAGUGGGUGUAUGCAGACUCAUCCAUCCAUGAAUCUAGAUUGCAGGGAUGUGACCUAUGUAAUGAACUUGCUACUUAUUGCUCAUCAUCAUCUUCUUCAAUGACAAAAAAGAAAAUAGUAACAAUGAAUACGUCUCUUGGGCAAAAUAAAUAAUGAGAUUGUUACAGGCUGGAGUGCAAUUGCAUGAUCUAGGCUCUCUGCAACCUCUGUCUCCUGAAUUCAAGCGAUUCUCCUGUUUCAGCCUCCCAAGUAGCUGGGAUUACAAGCGCCGGCCACUAUGCCAGGCUAAUUUUUGUAUUUUUAGUAGAGACGGGGUUUCACCAUGUUGGCCAGGCUAGGCUCAAACUCCUGACCUCAGGUGACCUCCCACCUUGGCCUCCCAAAGUGCUGGGAUUAUGCACAUGAGCCACCAUACCCAGCCCAGAAUUCACACUUUCAACAGCAAAAUGGACUUUGCAAGAUAUUAUACAUAGAUAGGGGCCAAAGAUAGUAAUAAUCUGAAUUUUUUGCAUUAAUUCCAUUAUUGCCAUUUUAUAUUUCACAGACAUUAAUAACAUUUUGUAUAGCAGAAAAACCAGCAUGUUUUUAUGUACUAGUCCAGCAAAUAAAUACUGUCAUUUACAUAAUGAUAUCAUACUAUUACUUCAAUAAACAGAUGAC